rnacentral:rRNA from 1 species
CGAAGCGAAGCAGCGAUGUGAAGCAAAUCGCACCAAAGCCAGUCCCAGUUCGGAUAAGAGGCUGAAACUCGCCUCUUUGAAGUCGGAAUCGCUAGUAAUCGCAGAUCAGCAUGUUGCGGUGAAUACGUUCCCGGGUCUUGUACACACCGCCCGUCAAACCAUGAGAGUCACCAACACCCGAAGUCCGCCUUGGCGGCCUAAGGUGGGGAGAUGAUUGGGGUUAAGUCGUAACAAGGUAUC